rnacentral:misc_RNA from 1 species
GGAUGAAGAACGUAGCGAAAUGCGAUAAGUAAUGUGAAUUGCAGAAUUCAGUGAAUCAUCGAAUCUUUGAACGCACCUUGCACUCCUUGGUAUUCCGAGGAGUACGCCUGUUCGAGUGUUAUGAAGCUCUCAAAACGCAAUUGGCUUAAAACCUGAUUGUUGUUUUGGAUUUGAACUUUGCCGUGUUAUAACGGCUGGUUUUAAAAGUAUUAGCUGGUACUAGAACGAAUUGGUUCUACUCAACGUGAUAAUUAUCUGAUCGUUGAGGACAUUCCUUUCACGAGGAAUGGCCAUAGUAAAUUCAAUGGACUGCUUCUAAUCUGGCUUUAAUUCUUUAUUGGAUUAACCACUUUUCAAAUCUGACCUCGAAUCAGGUGGGACUACCCGCUGAACUUAAGCAUAUCAAUAAGCGGAGGA